rnacentral:rRNA from 1 species
UUAAGCGACUAAGCGUACACGGUGGAUGCCCUGGCAGUCAGAGGCGAUGAAGGACGUGCUAAUCUGCGAAAAGCGUCGGUAAGGUGAUAUGAACCGUUAUANNNNNNNNNNNNNNNNNNNNNNNNNNNNNNNNNNNUGUGAACUCGAAGAGUAGGGCGGGACACGUGGUAUCCUGUCUGAAUAUGGGGGGACCAUCCUCCAAGGCUAAAUACUCCUGACUGACCGAUAGUGAACCAGUACCGUGAGGGAAAGGCGAAAAGAACCCCGGCGAGGGGAGUGAAAAAGAACCUGAAACCGUGUACGUACAAGCAGUGGGAGCACCUUCGGGUGUGACUGCGUACCUUUUGUAUAAUGGGUCAGCGACUUAUAUUCUGUAGCAAGGUUAACCGUAUAGGGGAGCCGCAGGGAAACCGAGUCUUAACUGGGCGUUAAGUUGCAGGGUAUAGACCCGAAACCCGGUGAUCUAGCCAUGGGCAGGUUGAAGGUUGGGUAACACUAACUGGAGGACCGAACCGACUAAUGUUGAAAAAUUAGCGGAUGACUUGUGGCUGGGGGUGAAAGGCCAAUCAAACCGGGAGAUAGCUGGUUCUCCCCGAAAGCUAUUUAGGUAGCGCCUCGUGAACUCAUCUUCGGGGGUAGAGCACUGUUUCGGCUAGGGGGUCAUCCCGACUUACCAACCCGAUGCAAACUACGAAUACCGAAGAAUGUUAUCACGGGAGACACACGGCGGGUGCUAACGUCCGUCGUGAAGAGGGAAACAACCCAGACCGCCAGCUAAGGUCCCAAAGUCAUGGUUAAGUGGGAAACGAUGUGGGAAGGCACAGACAGCCAGGAUGUUGGCUUAGAAGCAGCCAUCAUUUAAAGAAAGCGUAAUAGCUCACUGGUCGAGUCGGCCUGCGCGGAAGAUGUAACGGGGCUAAACCAUGCACCGAAGCUGCGGCAGCGACACUAUGUGUUGUUGGGUAGGGGAGCGUUCUGUAAGCCUGCGAAGGUGNUGCUGGAGGUAUCAGAAGUGCGAAUGCUGACAUAAGUAACGAUAAAGCGGGUGAAAAGCCCGCUCGCCGGAAGACCAAGGGUUCCUGUCCAACGUUAAUCGGGGCAGGGUGAGUCGACCCCUAAGGCGAGGCCGAAAGGCGUAGUCGAUGGGAAACAGGUUAAUAUUCCUGUACUUGGUGUUACUGCGAAGGGGGGACGGAGAAGGCUAUGUUAGCCGGGCGACGGUUGUCCCGGUUUAAGCAUGUAGGCUGGUUGUCCAGGCAAAUCCGGAUAAUCAAGGCUGAGGUGUGAUGACGAGGCACUACGGUGCUGAAGUAACAAAUGCCCUGCUUCCAGGAAAAGCCUCUAAGCAUCAGGUAACAUUAAAUCGUACCCCAAACCGACACAGGUGGUCAGGUAGAGAAUACCAAGGCGCUUGAGAGAACUCGGGUGAAGGAACUAGGCAAAAUGGUGCCGUAACUUCGGGAGAAGGCACGCUGGUGUGUAGGUGAAGUCCCUGCGGAUGGAGCUGAGACCAGUCGAAGAUACCAGCUGGCUGCAACUGUUUAUUAAAAACACAGCACUGUGCAAACACGAAAGUGGACGUAUACGGUGUGACGCCUGCCCGGUGCCGGAAGGUUAAUUGAUGGGGUUAUCCGUAAGGAGAAGCUCUUGAUCGAAGCCCCGGUAAACGGCGGCCGUAACUAUAACGGUCCUAAGGUAGCGAAAUUCCUUGUCGGGUAAGUUCCGACCUGCACGAAUGGCGUAAUGAUGGCCAGGCUGUCUCCACCCGAGACUCAGUGAAAUUGAACUCGCUGUGAAGAUGCAGUGUACCCGCGGCAAGACGGAAAGACCCCGUGAACCUUUACUAUAGCUUGACACUGAACAUUGAGCCUUGAUGUGUAGGAUAGGUGGGAGGCUUUGAAGCGUGGACGCCAGUCUGCGUGGAGCCAACCUUGAAAUACCACCCUUUAAUGUUUGAUGUUCUAACGUUGGCCCCUUACCGGGGUUGCGGACAGUGUCUGGUGGGUAGUUUGACUGGGGCGGUCUCCUCCNAAAGCGUAACGGAGGAGCACGAAGGUUAGCUAAUCCUGGUCGGACAUCAGGAGGUUAGUGCAAUGGCAUAAGCUAGCUUGACUGCGAGCGUGACGGCGCGAGCAGGUGCGAAAGCAGGUCAUAGUGAUCCGGUGGUUCUGAAUGGAAGGGCCAUCGCUCAACGGAUAAAAGGUACUCCGGGGAUAACAGGCUGAUACCGCCCAAGAGUUCAUAUCGACGGCGGUGUUUGGCACCUCGAUGUCGGCUCAUCACAUCCUGGGGCUGAAGUAGGUCCCAAGGGUAUGGCUGUUCGCCAUUUAAAGUGGUACGCGAGCUGGGUUUAGAACGUCGUGAGACAGUUCGGUCCCUAUCUGCCGUGGGCGCUGGAGAAUUGAGGGGGGCUGCUCCUAGUACGAGAGGACCGGAGUGGACGCAUCACUGGUGUUCGGGUUGUCAUGCCAAUGGCACUGCCCGGUAGCUAAAUGCGGAAGAGAUAAGUGCUGAAAGCAUCUAAGCACGAAACUUGCCCCGAGAUGAGUUCUCCCUGAGACUUUAAGUCUCCUGAAGGAACGUU